rnacentral:lncRNA from 1 species
CAGGGUGGCCUGGGGGGUCUCCCACCAUGGUGGCUGGAAGGACGGGGAGCUGGGGGAGCAGCGCCUAAACUGGGAAUACUGCUGAUUCAGGAAGAGCUCCAGGGUGGAUGCGCAGCCCUGCGUUUGCAUUGGACUGGAGGACAACCUGCCUGGGGUCACCACGGAGUCAACUGAUCCCUUAAUGCAGCUUCUCCGAACGCUGUAAAAUGGAGAGAAAAAAUAAAGGGGGGGGGAAUUUUGCAGAGGGAAGUGAGACAGCCUUACAUCUGCUCGUAUUUGUUUUUUGCAAAGCUGUAUCUUUGGGCAUGCGGAUGCUUAUAGACAGCUCAGUGGAAGACACAAGUGCCCCCAGACCUUAGGCUGGAGCCCCCCACAGCCACCCCCUCUCUGCGACACGCUUCUCGGUUCAGACCUGCGGCGUUACGCUGCCUGCUCUGACAGCAAACGCAGCACGCCAGGGACUUCCUGAUUUUUUUCGGAUUUGCAGAGACUGGAACUUGUCAGAAGAUUGCCCCGGUCCUGAUAAAACUUUCCUUAAGAACGUGUUUCAAAUCUCGGAAAGCCUCUCUUGUCAGAGCUGGUUCCUCGAGCCGCCACGUAACGAGGGCAUGAACUCGCUGUGAGCGCCGCGGGGCCCGAUCCUGCCUGAGCCCAGCACCCCGCUGGCCGGGAGCUGGCUCUGCCUUGUCUGUCGGUGGAAACGUUGGAGGCUCGUCUUGACAGGGAGUGGGAAAGUGUUGGAAUAAUUUCUCAGAAAAAUGCUCAGAGGCAGCCCUGCAAAACAGCUCGAAUGCCUCUAGGCGGCACGAGAGUGUGUCAGAUCACACCCGGCAUACAGCCCUCGCUUCUUGUCCGGCUCUGCAUGAACAUUUAGGGUCCCCUCUGCUGCUGUGCUGGCUGGUGUGGGGGCAGCACGGGUGCUGUGCAGGGCACCCCAGCCCCACCUCAUGUCCCAGAGAGCAGAGACGUCGAUGCUGGGGUUGCCCAGUGUGAAACUGGAGCUGGGCCCCACACCUGCUCGUGCUGGGAUGAAACCUCUGCAGCACUGCCUGGCAGUUCCCCAUCCUCCAGUCCCGCUGGGGACUAUUGCCCGUCCCCAUAAGGUGAGACCCCAAGUGCUCGCAGCCCAUGGUCAGUGCUGGGUGACGUUUGUUUCUCACACCUUUCAUCGCUGCAGAGAGCUGUGGGAUCGAAGUUCUGGCAUCUGCAGCUGGGCCCUCCACCCGCCACAUCUCUGCCCCCGGGCCGAAGGCAGGGAGGGAUCUCCCCAGGUGUCGGCCCCGGGUUCGGUGGGCUUCCUGCUGCUCUGCCCCGAAGGGCGCGGUGGAGACACUUAUCCCUUAGUGCUUGAUCCAGACAACCACGAAGUGACCAGCAGCGUUCCCUGGGAACAGCCAGACCCCGAUCCGAUCAUCCUGGAAGAUCUGGACACCAGCUCCACGUGCUGUCUGACAAGGGUUUCUCUGUUGGCUGCUACUGUUUUCAGGCUGAGAUGUCCAGGGCUGGUGCCUACCUUGGCAUGA